rnacentral:rRNA from 1 species
UACGGAGGGUGCAAGCGUUGUUCGGAUUUACUGGGCGUAAAGCGCGCGCAGGUGGAUGGACAAGUCGGAAGUGAAAUCUUGAGGCUCAACCUCGAGGCUGCUCCCGAAACUGUUCGUCUAGGGACUGGUAGAGGCUGGUAGAAUUCCCGGUGUAGCGGUGGAAUGCGUAGAUAUCUGGAGGAACACCGGUGGCGAAGGCGGCAUCCUGGACCGAGAUUGACGCUGAGGCGCGAAAGCCAGGGGAGCAAACGGG